GUAGGUGAACCUGCGGAAGGAUCAUUAACAAGUCCGCUGCGUGCGCAUUCGUGCGUGCGCACAUCCGUUCUAUGUGCAGUCCGCUGUGCAUGACAUUUCUGCAAAUCUCUGAUUGUCAUACUAUAAAUAAUACAAACUUUUAACAAUGGAUCUCUAGGCUCUU
rnacentral:misc_RNA from 1 species